GGCGGCGUGCUUAACACAUGCAAGUCGAACGGACUCUUAUUGAAACCUAGUGAUAUAUGAGUUAGUGGCGGACGGGUGAGUAACGCGUGGGUAACCUGCCUUACACAGGGGGAUAACACUUAGAAAUAGGUGCUAAAACCGCAUAAGCGCACAGCUUUGCAUGAAGCAGUGUGAAAAACUCCGGUGGUGUAAGAUGGACCCGCGUCUGAUUAGCUUGUUGGCGGGGUAACGGCCCACCAAGGCGACGAUCAGUAGCCGGCCUGAGAGGGCGGACGGCCACAUUGGGACUGAGACACGGCCCAGACUCCUACGGGAGGCAGCAGUGGGGAAUAUUGCACAAUGGGGGAAACCCUGAUGCAGCGACGCCGCGUGAGUGAAGAAGUAAUUCGUUACGUAAAGCUCUAUCAGCAGGGAAGAAAUACUGACCUUACGGUCAGCAGACGGUACCUGAGUAAGAAGCCCCGGCUAACUACGUGCCAGCAGCCGCGGUAAUACGUAGGGGGCAAGCGUUAUCCGGAUUUACUGGGUGUAAAGGGAGCGUAGACGGUACGCCAAGUCUGAAGUGAAAUGCCGCAGCUUAACUGCGGAACUGCUUUGGAAACUGGCGGGCUGGAGUGCGGGAGGGGUAAGCGGAAUUCCUAGUGUAGCGGUGAAAUGCGUAGAUAUUAGGAGGAACACCGGUGGCGAAGGCGGCUUACUGGACCGUAACUGACGUUGAGGCUCGAAAGCGUGAGGAGCAAACAGGAUUAGAUACCCUGGUAGUCCACGCCGUAAACCGAUGAUUAUAAGGUGUCGGGGCCAUAAGGGGCUUCGGGCACACCGCAAACGCAAUAAGUAAUCCACCUGGGGGAGUACGUUAGCAAGAAUGAAAAUUCAAAGGAAUUGACGGGGACCCGCACAAGCGGUGGAGCAUGUGGGUUUUAAUUUGAAGCAACGCGAAGAACCUUACCUGCCCUUGACAUCCGGAUGAAUAAGGGGUAAUGCCCUUAGCCCUUCGGGGCAUCCGAGACAGGUGGCGCAUGGUUGUCGUCAGCUCGUGUCGUGAGAUGUUGGGGUUAAGUCCCGCAACGAGCGCAACCCCUAUCUUCAGUAGCCAGCAUUUAGGAUGGGCACUCUGGAGAGACUGCCCGGGACAACCGGGAGGAAGGCGGGGAUGACGUCAAAUCAUCAUGCCCCUUAUGGGCAGGGCUACACACGUGCUACAAUGGCGGAAACAGAGGGAGGCAAGCCGGCGACGGCAAGCAAACCCCAAAAAUACCGUCUCAGUUCGGACUGUAGUCUGCAACCCGACUACACGAAGCCGGAAUCGCUAGUAAUCGAGAAUCAGAAUGUCGCGGUGAAUACGU
rnacentral:rRNA from 1 species